GACGUAGGGCGCGAGCGUUGUCCGGAUUUAUUGGGCGUAAAGAGCUCGUAGGCGGCUUGUUGCGUCGACCGUGAAAACCCGUGGCUCAACUGCGGGCUUGCGGUCGAUACGGGCGGGCUAGAGUUCGGUAGGGGAGACUGGAAUUCCUGGUGUAGCGGUGAAAUGCGCAGAUAUCUGGAGGAACACCGGUGGCGAAGGCGGCAUCCUGGACCGACACUGACGCUGAUGAGCGAAAGCCAGGGGAGCAAACGGG
rnacentral:rRNA from 1 species